UCAUGUGGUCAGCACAAUGGAGAAACAAAAGAGAACAUCUAUCAUUUAGUUCAGUAAUAUCAUAUUUUAGGCGUUGUCAUUUUAUGCGUGUUCAGAAAGUUCCCAUAUUAAAUUUAUCAUUUCAUAAAUAUACUAUGACUCUGAAGGUUGUUUAUUUUAUAUUAUUCUUGCCCUAAUUCCAUCACAUCAUUAACAAGUUCAUUGCUUCUAAGAAGUGCACCCAUGUAACAAGCUUCUAUAACUUGUAUUUUUUUGGUACAGUCCAAGCUUGUUUGCACUACUGGAUGCCGCUCCAUUUAACUCCAUAUGCUGUUUGAUUUUAUAGGGGUAGAGAGUUUGUGCGAAAGUGCAGGGGCGCCGGUGGUACAGGUUGAAUUGAACCCAUGGAAGAUUUCAACUCAUAAUCUUUGCUGUCAAUCGUACACAAAAGUUCCUGAUUUUUUUAACCUGUCUUGGAGUAAAUUGCCAUUUCUUUUUUAGAUUGACUCAUGGUAAUACUAGCAUGUACACACAUGAAUGCAUGUCUGAACAUUUUGAUGUGAUUUUGUAGAUAAGAAAUUACAAAGAUAUAAACGAACCAACCUUCUUUGUAA